UUCCAAGGUAAGCCCCUCUACAAGGGCCAACUAGUGACCCCCAACCCCCAGAAACAGAGCCACUGGAUAAAAUCUGGCAUACCCAAGGUCUGGGAAGGUAAGGUGAUGUUUCCUUUUGACCUCUGACUGCCUACAUAU
ensembl:snoRNA